rnacentral:rRNA from 1 species
CCUACGGGUGGCUGCAGUGGGGAAUAUUGCACAAUGGGCGCAAGCCUGAUGCAGCCAUGCCGCGUGUGUGAAGAAGGCCUUCGGGUUGUAAAGCACUUUCAGCGGGGAGGAAGGCGGUGAGGUUAAUAACCUCAUCGAUUGAAGUUACCCGCAGAAGAAGCACCGGCUAACUCCGUGCCAGCAGCCGCGGUAAUACGGAGGGUGCAAGCGUUAAUCGGAAUUACUGGGCGUAAAGCGCACGCAGGCGGUCUGUCAAGUCGGAUGUGAAAUCCCCGGGCUCAACCUGGGAACUGCAUUCGAAACUGGCAGGCUAGAGUCUUGUAGAGGGGGGUAGAAUUCCAGGUGUAGCGGUGAAAUGCGUAGAGAUCUGGAGGAAUACCGGUGGCGAAGGCGGCCCCCUGGACAAAGACUGACGCUCAGGUGCGAAAGCGUGGGGAGCAAACAGGAUUAGAUACCCCAGUAGUC